AGAUAUGCUUCUCCCAGAAAACGGGAGUCUCCGAUGAGAGCAGCCGGACGCUUCUUGCAUGGCGAAGAUUGUGCGUAACCUUCGUUUCAUGGCUGGCUCCUACGCAGUUAGAACCGCACCCUACAAAUCACUGUACGGAGGACACCCUUUUCUUAUGAAUAGC
rnacentral:sRNA from 12 species